ensembl:lncRNA
GUGGUGCGCCAGCUCUCUAGCUGAGGUGCCCAGGCUUAGCUGCUCUGCGGCAUGUGGGAUCUUAGUUCUCCAUUUAGGGAUCGAACCUGGAUCCCCUGCAUUGGGAGGCAGAUUCUUAACUGCUGGACUACAGGGAAAUCCCUUCUUGUCCUUUUAUAGCAUCUUUCAUUUGCAACGUGGCAAAUUGCUCUGUUUCUAGUGUUGGCUGAACAAAGGUGUGCUAUUUUCUUUUGUAUCAUAGGAGAGCAGGUGGUGUAAGUUUCUCCAGUUCUACACUCCUUUAGUAUGAAUCUUUUCCCCAUGUUAUUCUGGAAGUGGUGUCUAAUGCAUUCUUCUUUCUACCUGGUGGUGAUGAUACAUAUGCACAACAGUAGAAAAUGAUUAUUGAGAUGAAAUGUUAAGACAUCUUGUAUAUGACUAUCUGUACUUCUGAACAUGGACUCUCUUGAAUUCAAAGUAUUUACAUAUAUUUACAAAAUGACAUGCCCAUCUGAUGGAGUCUUUGACGGUAGAGCUAAAUAUAGUUAACUGGUUCCCACGGGAAUCCAAUCUCUGAUUAGACAAUAAGUCUUGAACUGCUGGAAACAAGCUAAAUGUGUUUCUGAAACUACAAUAUAUCUGAAAAAUAAUGUAGAUUUUCAGGAUUGUGUGUCCAUCCACUCCAAUUUGAAAAGUGCUGAUUUAUGAGGCUAAAAUCUUAUCCUAAGAAAUUGUUUUGUAGUUGCUAAGUAUAAAUGAAAAAGAAUUCUAGUGUUAGGCAGAAUAUUGCCUCUCCUCCCCACCCUCCUCCCAAGAAGACACCCAUACCCUAAUCUCCCAAACCUGUAAAUAUGGUCAAAGGGACUUUGCAAAUGUGAUUAAGUUUAAAGACUUUGAAGUAGGGAGAUUUCCAGUUGGGCCCAGUCUAAUUACCUGAAUUCCUUAUACUUGGAGAAUCUUUCCAGGCUAUGAUUAGAGAAAGAGAUGCGGUAGCAGAAGCAGGGUUACAUCACUGGCUCUGAAGAUGGACGAAAGAGGCCACAAGCCAAAGAAUGUGGAUGCCCUCUCAAAGCUGAAAAGGUGGAGGAAUUCAAGCAGAGAGCCCAAAGCCUGUGUGCAAAGAGCUCAUGAUUGCAAAGGAAUCCGAAGACCCUAGAGAUGAGAGUUACUCAUUUUAUGAGAGAGAGAAAAACAGAGAGAGAGAGACAUGGAAAGUAUCCAAAUGUAACGAGUACUGUGUAGUCGUUGUCUGACUAGGAAAGUGCAGAACAAAACUAUUCCUCCUUUACCAUUCCUGCAUGGAAGUUUCACAGAGGUUUGGAAUUCUGUUGCUCUGGUGAUGUACUAACUAACGUGAAAAGAUUUUGCUUACGGUUACUGUGUCACCUUUGGGGAUAGUUUGUAGAAUCACUGGUUAACUAGGUCAACUCUAUCCAUAUGGUAUCAUUAUGGUCAUUCUGCCCGGAGAGGAAUAGCAAACUAGAAAUCAAAGCUAGAAAGAAA